GUUAUAAUUGAUGUUUACCAUCUACAUUUUUUUUAGUUGUAAGAUGGACAAAAUACCUUUAUUUUAUUUGUUUUUAUUUUUAUGUGAUGCCAGGGAUCAAACCUAGUGCUUCACACAUGCUAGGCAAGCACUCAAUCACUGAGCCACAACCCUGGCCACUUACUGUCUAUAUUUUAAAGGUUAUUUUACUGUAGUCAAAGACUUCACAAUUGGAUUUUACCCAUUUUUGAAAUGUAAAAUGCACAAUUAUAAUAUUCAUAGUACAUAUUUUACAAUUUUAAAGUUUUAGCAAAAACAUUUGAGUUUCUGCAAGUAAAAGCAAGAGUUCUUCUAUACUUAAGACAAAUAAAAUGCAUUACUGAUAAAGUGCCAAUGGAUUAGAUAAUGCAGUUUCAACUAUUUCAUUUUUGGGGAGGAGGACGAAAGUACAUAAAUCAAUUAUAGAACUAGUCAUUUUCAUUAUGUUAGUAUAGAGCUAGCAAUUUUCAUUAUGCUUUGUAAUAAGUGAAAGAGUGCUUGUAGUAGAUAUUAACCACAAUAAAGAAUUUUUCUCAAGAAAGUUCACAAUUAACAUGACAAGCUGCUAAGACGUUGCUGAAUGGAAUUUAGUGUCCAGAGUUUUAAAAAAGUGCAUUCUUGAACUAAGAUAAAACUAAUUCUACCAAUAACAAGAAAUGUAUGAACUGCAAAUAAAUCAGAGAAUCUCUCUCUUUUUUUAAAUGAUAAACUAGGUUUCUAUCUGUUGUAAAGAGUUUUUUACAACAAUGCAUGAGGCUCUGGGUUAAAACCCUAGAGAAGGAACUAGUGGUGAAUGACAAAGUUUGGCAAAAGUAUUUUUCUAGCAGGUGAAAGCUUUGUGUGCAUUGCUAUACGAUGCAUCUUUCACAUAAAGAAAAAAUGUUUACUAGAUAUAUACAGCACUUUUCAGGCACUUGGCCUUACUUGGUAGUUAAAUUGGUGUUCAGAUGUUUAUUUAAUGGAAAAAAAUUAAAUUACAAAGUGACUUUAAGCCAUGUUCCCACAGAACAUCUGUGUUCUGUAAACUAAAUCCAUAUGCUCCCUGCUAAAAUCAAAUAACGAUGCCCUAUACCCAAUUCAGCAGAAAAAAUGUAAGAGAUCAAAGUUAAUAGACUGAAUUUUCUCAAUUUUAGGAUUUUUCACUGUAAGUUUUUCUUAAAUCUAUGUUGCCUAUUACUAGCAGAGGGGAAAAAAAGCUUGAAACUGAUGAAAUAUGC
rnacentral:lncRNA from 1 species